UGGGGAAUUUUGGACAAUGGGCGAAAGCCUGAUCCAGCAAUGCCGCGUGUGUGAAGAAGGCCUUCGGGUUGUAAAGCACUUUUGUCCGGAAAGAAAUCCUUGGCUCUAAUACAGUCGGGGGAUGACGGUACCGGAAGAAUAAGCACCGGCUAACUACGUGCCAGCAGCCGCGGUAAUACGUAGGGUGCAAGCGUUAAUCGGAAUUACUGGGCGUAAAGCGUGCGCAGGCGGUUUGCUAAGACCGAUGUGAAAUCCCCGGGCUCAACCUGGGAACUGCAUUGGUGACUGGCAUGCUAGAGUAUGGCAGAGGGGGGUAGAAUUCCACGUGUAGCAGUGAAAUGCGUAGAGAUGUGGAGGAAUACCGAUGGCGAAGGCAGCCCCCUGGGCCAAUACUGACGCUCAUGCACGAAAGCGUGGGGAGCAAACAGGAUUAGAUACCCCUGGUAGUCCACGCCCUAAACGAUGUCAACUAGUUGUUGGGGAUUCAUUUCCUUAGUAACGUAGCUAACGCGUGAAGUUGACCGCCUGGGGAGUACGGUCGCAAGAUUAAAACUCAAAUGAAUUGACGGGGUCAUAGCUGUUUCCU
rnacentral:rRNA from 1 species